rnacentral:rRNA from 1 species
GCUUACGGCCACACCGCCUGGUUCACGCACGAUCUCGUUUGAUCUCGGAAGAUAAGAUAGGGUGGGCCUGGUUAGUACUUGGAUGUGAGACCGCCUGGGAAUACCAGGUGCUGUAAGCU